rnacentral:rRNA from 1 species
UACGGAGGGCAGCAGUGGGGAAUAUUGCACAAUGGGCGCAAGCCUGAUGCAGCCAUGCCGCGUGUAUGAAAAAGGCCUUCGGGUUGUAAAGUACUUUCAGUCGUGAGGAAGGUGUUAAGGUUAAUAACCUUAGCAAUUGACGUUAGCGACAGAAGAAGCACCGGCUAACUCCGUGCCAGCAGCCGCGGUAAUACGGAGGGUGCGAGCGUUAAUCGGAAUUACUGGGCGUAAAGGGCACGCAGGCGGUUAAUUAAGUUGGAUGUGAAAUCCCCGGGCUUAACCUGGGAAUGGCAUUCAAGACUGGUUAGCUAGAGUCUUGUAGAGGGGGUAGAAUUCCAUGUGUAGCGGUGAAAUGCGUAGAGAUGUGGAGGAAUACCGGUGGCGAAGGCGGCCCCUGGGACAAAGACUGACGCUCAUGUGCGAAAGCGUGGGGAGCAAACAGGGAUUAGAUACC